CCCUUAGAUGUUCUGGGCCGCACGCGUGCUACACUGAGUGGAUCAGCGGGUCAGGUUGCGCGAAAGUGUUUCCUAAUCUUUAAAUCCGCUCGUGAUGGGGAUUGACGGUUGCAAUUUUCCGUCAUGAACGAGGAAUACCUUGUAAGCGCGGGUCAUCAGCCCGCGCUGAAUACGUCCCUGCCCUUUGUACACACCGCCCGUCGCUCCUACCGAUUGAGUGGUCCGGUGAGGCUUUGGGAUCUGAGCGGAAAGAGCGUUUCGCUGUUUCUGCCCGGAAAACUCAGUCGAACCUUAUCAUUUAGAGGAAGGAGAAGUCGUAACA
rnacentral:rRNA from 1 species